rnacentral:rRNA from 12 species
AAUGGCUGCCAUACCAUCCUGUGAGCAUCCGACCCCAUCCAAUCUCGGAAACUAAGGAGGGUCGGGUCUGGCCUAGUACUUGGAAGACUGCCUGGGAAUACCAGGUGCUGUAGGCU